AGCCCCUAGCGCAGACGGCGGAGAGCAGAGAGGGAGCGCGCCUUGGCUCGCUGGCCUUGGCGGCGGCUCCUCAGGAGAGCUGGGGCGCCCACGAGAGGAUCCCUCACCCGGGUCUCUCCUCAGGGAUGACAUCAUCCGUCCACCUCCUUGUCUUCAAGGACCACCUCCUCUCCAUGCUGAGCUGCUGCCAAGGGGCCUGCUGCCCAUCUACACCUCACGAGGGCACUAGGAGCACGGUUUCCUGGAUCCCACCAACAUACAAAGCAGCCACUCACUGACCCCCAGGACCAGGAUGGCAAAGGAUGAAGAGGACCGGAACUGACCAGCCAGCUGUCCCUCUUACCUAAAGACUUAAACCAAUGCCCUAGUGAGGGGGCAUUGGGCAUUAAGCCCUGACCUUUGCUAUGCUCAUACUUUGACUCUAUGAGUACUUUCCUAUAAGUCUUUGCUUGUGUUCACCUGCUAGCAAACUGGAGUGUUUCCCUCCCCAAGGGGGUGUCAGUCUUUGUCGACUGACUCUGUCAUCACCCUUAUGAUGUCCUGAAUGGAAGGAUCCCUUUGGGAAAUUCUCAGGAGGGGGACCUGGGCCAAGGGCUUGGCCAGCAUCCUGCUGGCAACUCCAAGGCCCUGGGUGGGCUUCUGGAAUGAGCAUGCUACUGAAUCACCAAAGGCACGCCCGACCUCUCUGAAGAUCUUCCUAUCCUUUUCUGGGGGAAUGGGGUCGAUGAGAGCAACCUCCUAGGGUUGUUGUGAGAAUUAAAUGAGAUAAAAGAGGCCUCAGGCAGGAUCUGGCAUAGAGGAGGUGAUCAGCAAAUGUUUGUUGAAAAGGUUUGACAGGUCAGUCCCUUCCCACCCCUCUUGCUUGUCUUACUUGUCUUAUUUAUUCUCCAACAGCACUCCAGGCAGCCCUUGUCCACGGGCUCUCCUUGCAUCAGGACGAAUAAUUUAUGGUCAGUGAAAAUCCAGGCCCCAGUGAGAUUCGAGUGGGCUGUAAAAUCGAGAGUCCUGCUCCCACAGGUUCCCAGUGCCCCCGACAAGCCCCUGCUGGUGUCUCCAUCUCCUGCCAAGCAUCCUCCAGUGCCUCCUCCUGUGGGCCUGGCCUCAGGGCUAUGGACAGACUCCUGUCCCAUCCCAGAGACCCCUCGUGAUCGUGCCCUGGCACGUGGGCCGUGGCCCGGCUGGGUCGGCUGAAGAACUGCGGAUGGAAGCUGCGGAAGAGGCCCUGAUGGGGCCCACCAUCCCGGACCCAAGUCUUCUUCCUGGCGGGCCUCUCGUCUCCUUCCUGGUUUGGGCGGAAGCCAUCACCUGGAUGCCUACGUGGGAAGGGACCUCGAAUGUGGGACCCCAGCCCCUCUCCAGCUCGAAAUCCCUCCACAGCCACGGGGACACCCUGCACCUAUUCCCACGGGACAGGCUGGACCCAGAGACUCUGGACCCGGGGCCUCCCCUUGAGUAGAGACCCGCCCUCUGACUGAUGGACGCCGCUGACCUGGGGUCAGACCCGUGGGCUGGACCCCUGCCCACCCCGCAGGAACCCUGAGGCCUAGGGGAGCUGUUGAGCCUUCAGUGUCUGCAUGUGGGAAGUGGGCUCCUUCACCUACCUCACAGGGCUGUUGUGAGGGGCGCUGUGAUGCGGUUCCAAAGCACAGGGCUUGGCGCACCCCACUGUGCUCUCAAUAAAUGUGUUUCCUGUCUUAACAAAAA
rnacentral:lncRNA from 1 species